rnacentral:rRNA from 1 species
AACGUAGGUACCGAGCGUUAUCCGGAUUUACUGGGCGUAAAGCGCGUUCAGGCGGUUUGGCAAGUCGGGCAUGAAAUCUCUCGGCUCAACCGGGAGAGGUUGUCCGAUACUUCCAGACUUGAGGGCAGUAGAGGGUGGUGGAAUUCCGGGUGUAGUGGUGAAAUGCGUAGAUAUCCGGAGGAACACCAGUGGCGAAGGCGGCAUCCUGGACCGGCAUUGACGCUGAGGCGCGAAAGCCAGGGGAGCAAACGGG